GAUGCUUUCUUAUUUCUUCAUUCAACUUACAAGAGUCUAACCAGAACGAUACUGAAGCAAACACUGGUAGUGCUGGUUGUAGCAGCUGGUGCAUCACCAACAAAAGUUUCACAACUAAUAUUUCAAUUCUAGGCCCAGUAGCCUUUGUUAGGUCAAAGGUGGGAGAGAGGCAAGGCAGGGCCUAAGAAGAACUUGACCUAUGAUGAAAGACUUGACAUAGGCUCAGGACUUUGGGAUAGGGGGACAGCAGAGAAUAGUGGAAAUGUAGUGAACUCAAGAGUGUAUGUGCUAUAAAAGCCAGGUUUUCUGUGAAGCACAGGUAACACAAGUCUUAACAUAGGAAUGUGUGCACCAAAAAUGACUGGAGACUAGUCCAUUCAAGUUCUUGAGGGAAAAAGUACUAGUCAAGCCAGGAACAUGCCUCCUAGAAAAAUGUGAUGAGUAAAGUCUUGACAGGCAGUUUCCUCCUCUCAGGUCUCCUGCCUUCCUCACCAGCAAACUUUCAAAGUGAAUUUUAAAAUAGUACUCUUCCCUGGAUAUGUCCUGUUUGCACUAGAAAAAUUACCUGUAAAAUCUCCUCAGAUGUUAUAAAAAUAUGGAAACAGCAACUUGAUUCUACAUAUGCACAAAAUGGGAAGGUAGUUCAGACCUUAAAAGGUGGUUGUGUGGUCAUUUCAAGUACUUAAGCUAAGUGCAAGCUAAUUUUAAGCCUUGUAUUCAAUAGUCUCCUUGGUUAAUGUGGUAUAUAUUUCACUGGUUGUAAUACCCUAAUUGACACAUGAUGGUUUAAUUAGCAUUGUUCUUCAUGGUAUCCGAAAUAAUGGUGUGCCUUCAAUCAAUGGUGUUUUAUAUCAUCCACCUACUAAGCAUUAUUUGGGAAGUUUUAUUUGAAAGCAGUCUUUAAGACUUGUAACCAGAAGGGGAGUGUGUGUAUGCACACCAUAACCUUUUCUCUCCUCAGAAAUGAACAAAGUCUAUAAAUAUUUAAGCUAGGAUGCUAGCAGAAAUAGGGAGAAAUGGUCAAAUGGCCUUUUAAGACACACACACACGUAACCUAACCUGGGCAUCAGCUCUUAGAACAUUUAAUUGGCAUAAGGAGACCUGUGUGCAUAGUGUUAUUUUUAAAAAGUACCCCCAGGUAAUUCAACAGUAUAGCAAGGCUUGAGAAAGGAAAAAUAGGGAAGUUCCCUUUUGCAUGUAACACUCCAUUCCAGGGGGGCUGGCCUCACAGGGAAGCAGGUAGACUUCUAUGAAACAAGCAGACUAUUCUCAAUUUCUCUGGAGAGAGAGUUCACCAAUUAGCAAAUACUGGCAAGGAUAAGGAGCUAAUGAAAUAGGGUGAAUUCCUUAGUAAAGGAAACUACCAUAAGGAACAUGGAUGGCUAAAGCGCCCAAGAGGCUGGGCAGUUGGGAACUGGCUGAGAACAGGAACAUCUGCCCUUGCGCUCAACUAGCCACACACACUUCAGGGGAAGACUGCUCUGUUACACUUUGAGGACUUUUUGUU